GGUAAAAUAACACGAACAACAUAUUCAGUGGAAAAUUAAAAACGAAAAGUCCCUAAUCAAAUGGCAUAACCAAAUGCUCAAACACAUUGAACGAAUGUGGCAAUAUAUACAGUUCAAUAGCAAAAUAUAAUUUCUAAAACAGUAGCAUGACUUAAUCUAUCCAAUUCCACAGUGGCGGAUUUACCGGGGGGGCACAAGGGGCACGUGCCCCCCCGGUUCAGGUCAACAAUUUUUUUUUCUAACAUAAUUUUAUUGAUACUGAAACUUCUUAUCUAGUGCGGAAAUUGUCACAGCUUGAUUAGGCUUCUUAAACUGGCCGUUAAUUAAUACCAGCGUCCCCAUGCGUGAUUUAUGACAACUUAUCGGUGGGUGUGUAAAUAUUGACACCUGUGUGUAAUAUGUCUAUGCAAAAGAUUUUAUGUAAAAUAGAUCAAAAUACAUUUACAUUAUGAUUGGAAUAGUACAAAAUUGUAUUGGUUUAUAAUACAAUACCGAUUAAGAUCGAUUACCAGGUGAAACGUCUGAUCUGUGUUUUUGAAGAAAAGGUACAAACAUUUCCUGUAAAUGUACUUUUUUUCCAAAACUUUCUUUUUUUGAAUUUAUUUAGCAACAAAUUAAACUAUUUAUUUUUUGAUAACUUAGAAGAUAUGUUUUUUUUUUUUUUAAAUAAUAUCAUAUUUCAUUCCCCUCUUAUGGAAGGGAAAUCAACAAAAAAAUUUACUCCCCCUCCCCUUUACCCUAAUGCUUUCCCUCGUCCAGGAAAAAUAAAUUGACAUUUCCUAUUAAAUAAUCAUUAAUAAAAUGCUACUUGAUUUUCGUUAAAAUUUAGUUUGUAACAGAAUCUUGGACUUAAACAUUUCUCUAAAAGCUGAAGCAUGCAGUUAUAUUUGUUUUUAUUGGUCUUGUUUCAAUUACCAUGCAUGUACAUGGACGAGGCUAUGCAAAAGGUCACCAUUUAUGAAGAUAUAAAGGUGUUUUGCAGAUAUUCGAAUAAUGUGCAAAAAAGUAUAAGUCGGGGCCAAAAAAUAUAGAUAACAGAAUAUAGAGUUGAUGAAAUAUAAAGAAAAUAUUGUUUUAAUUGUUGCAUGGUUGUUAAACGUCCAGUGGCAAAUAUUUGAUGCAUGUUUAGGUCGAAUAUAAUAAAGAUCAAUUGGCAAUAAAGUGCAAAAGUAAAAAACUUAAAACAUAUCGAAAUACAGAAAUAAUGAUUUGACAC
rnacentral:lncRNA from 1 species